GUAUAUCUUUGAUGACUUCUUUCCCUGCCUGCAAACUGUAUUUAUUAAUGGCAGCUUUUUUUUUUCUCUGUAGGGUGGGUAGCUUGCAAAUAUAAAUGUGAGGAUUGAAAAAGGUUAGCAUAUAAUGGUGAGCCCAGAGGCCCAAAGAUCAAUAAAGAAAAGAAAAAAGAAGAGGCACUGUGAAUCUUGCAGCAACCUGUUUUCUGAGUGAUUUAUGUAUCCCAUGACUCCUGUGGAAAGCAAAGACAAUGUGCAGGACCCUAACAGCAUCUCUGCAAAUACAGCCGUUAUGUAAUGAAUGCCAACUUUAAAGAAAAAUUGCAGAAGACUGUGGUAGACUUCAUUGGUAUUAAUAAGUCAUCAAGGACAUGUAGCUCAAAUAUUGCAUAAAUAUGUGCAAUAUGCUUAAUAAGAGAGCUCAGAGCAAAGGCUUGAAUACAGCAUCUCAGCCUGUGGUGUAGUGUGAGCUGGAUUGUGUCUUGCAGGAAACUGUCCUUCACUGAAGAUACUGCUAUAGACUCCUAAGCACAUGUUUCCACCCAAAACAAAGGCAGCUCAGGAAUUUGAAUAUUGUGGGAAGACUGGCUUUGUCUGGGUAUUAUUUUGGGAAAGAAAUAUGUGUGGGUAGAUGAGAGGCAGUUCAGGUGGGAAGGAAGGAGAGAGCAUGUGGGAAACAGGCGGUGGUGCAGAGCUGCAGCACAGCCAAGUUGUGUGGAUGCCUGUCCUAGGAGAAGCCCGAGAGGCUAGAGAGCUAGCUGGGAAAGAUCUGCUGCUGUGAGAAGAAAAGUUUCCUCCAGUGGUUUGUGUCCUACUGUGUUAUGAGAGCAGACUCUAUGUUGUUCUACAUAAAAAGAGUUGCAUCA